CACGUAGGGCGCAAGCGUUGUCCGGAAUUAUUGGGCGUAAAGAGCUCGUAGGCGGUCUGUUACGUCUGCUGUGAAAACCCAGGGCUUAACCCUGGGCUUGCAGUGGAUACGGGCAGACUAGAGGCAGGUAGGGGAGAAUGGAAUUCCGGGUGUAGCGGUGGAAUGCGUAGAGAUCCGGAAGAACACCGGUGGCGAAGGCGGUCUGCUGGGGUAAUGCUGACACUGAUGCGCGACAGCGUGGGGAGCAAACAGG
rnacentral:rRNA from 1 species